GUACUGUGUAAAUAAAAACUAAAUCUGAAAGAUGAAAACAACAACGUUCAAACACUUACCUUACGGACUGUCGCGCUGUCGUCGUGUUCCGAACGAUCCGCAAUCUGUCCUGUACAUUUAUCCCCGCUCGUCUGGCCAUCAUAGGAACAAUGACAGCCACGGACUCCAGAUUUUGCUCCAACUGGCCUUGUGUCAAACAUGAAUGAUCUAGGUCGUACACAUAUAUAGUCGAGUCAGCAAAAACGAUCUCCAGCGUAAUAUAGUGUUUAUUGAUGCACGCUGGAAUGUACAUAUGUGUACAACCCUCCCAUGAUUUUCCCCCGACACUCGGUGACAGUCCUAUCACCCAUUCGAGCAUAUAUUCAGGCACCGUGUACUCAUUACCCAUAUGUGCGAGCGACUGAUACUCUAUGGUAACGGUACCCAGGAACUCGGUGUUUAAUAUGACUCGACCAUGGACAUCAAAUGAUUUUGGAUAUCUUUGAGCUCGAUCUCGCAGCAAGUCCAUGGCCAGGUCGAUGUGCUGCAGCAGGAAACACCGAAAAAGUAUGAGUUAUUCAUUUAAUAAACACAAGGUCACAUAUACAUAAAAAACACGAAAUGAAUAGUUCACUUACAUCAUAGGAACAAUGACAGCCACGGACUCCAGAUUUUGCUCCGAACGAUCCGCAAUAUGUCCUGUACAUUUAUCCCCGCUCGUCUGGCCAUCAUAGGAACAAUGACAGCCACGGACUCCAGAUUUUGCUCCAACUGGCCUUGUGUCAAACAUGAAUGAUCUGGGUCGUACACAUAUAUAGUCGAGUCAGCAAAAAUGAUCUCCAGCGUAACAUAGUGUUUAUUGAUGCACGCUGGAAUGUACAUAUGUGUACAACCCUCCC
rnacentral:lncRNA from 1 species